CCGGGCUCGCCCCCGUGCAGGUCUCCGGAACACGUCCCUGGGCGAGAGAAGAAACGUCCCAGGCAGAGACAGCGGCAGCACUGACGUACCAAAAGCCCGCAGGGAGAGCGCACAGGCUCCUGUCUCGCAGCGUCUUCGUGAAGGGCAAAAGUGGGACUGAAGUCCCCUCAAAAUGACACUCUUUUCUCCUAUGCUUAAUGUUUCUGUUCCAAUAACUUCGAUUUUCCUGUGUAAAAGCUUCACAGCUGCCUCUCCACAAGGAUACUCUAUAAGUACAAUAGCUAAAGGGAGCAUGCCAAGAGGAUGGAGCCACGCUCUUCUUGGUGGUACCAAGCAAUAGGACGAGAGACUACGGGCAGAAACUGAUGCGUGGGAAGUUCCAUCUGAAUAUGAGGAAGAACUUUUUUACCAUGCAGGCAGCUGUAUCCUUUCUCGUUGUACAGAAACAAUCAGAGCAUGCAUGGACUCCAGUGCCCUUCCCUCCUCCGGCCUUGGCACACAGUGUAGAUACCAGGAUGAUUACUAGAGAUACAAGCAGGGAAGCUGGGACUGAGAAAAGAAGAAGCAGAAUCCAAGAGAGGUAAGGAACUAGGGGGCAUGAGCAUGAUGAAAAUGCAGGGCCAAAGAUGGCAGGGUAAAGAUGGAAGUCAGAGAUGAAAUGGGGAAGUAUUUAUGAAAUGAACUCUUUCUAGAGUUUGUUUAAUGAAGUAAGGGAAAUAAAUGUUUGUAAGAUCCACGUGCUGGCUUGCAUUACAGAAAGAACCAGUUCCAAAAGCCCCACUCAAAGUCUUAGCUGGGCUUUCUGCCCCUCUGUUCUGUGUUCCUCACUGCUUUCUACUACAACUUCUAUUUACUUCUACUACAGCAUUCAGCUUCCCUGAUUUUGUCUUUGCACUCAAAAUCUGGGUCAUUGUUCUCAUUGCAUGUCUACCUGCUGACCUGUGUCAUGAAUUUGUGCACUGUCCCACUUCACAGUCCCUUACAUACACUACCAAGUCCUUAUGGCAGGGAAUGAGUUACAGAGAGAGUCAGAGUGGAGAGAUACAACUGAGUAUUUACUGACAGCAAGCUUAAAAGCAGAGACCAGUUAGUCCCUACUGAGGUGUGAUACUUGUCCUUUUUAUGGAAGAGUGUUCCAGCCAGAGAAAUUGAGGUUUGAAAGGUCUUAUAAAGGCACCAAGAAUGAAUGUGGCAGAUGGGCAGCAAUAAUGCUCUCAUGCUUCAGAAGAAGAAAGUAUACUCUUGGAUGAGAAAAGAAGAAAUAAGGAGUGCUAAGGAGAGGCAACACAGGGAGAAUUUUUUAAUUAUUAUUAUCAAUCAUGUCAUUACUGAAAUAGGAAUUUACAGGAUUCUCUUCAUUCAAUGCUGUCCAAUAAUACAUUAAUAAUUAAUCAGUGGGAAUGUAUCUGUAGUGCUCUAAAAAUAUAACUAAGGUAAGGUCAGAGAGAAAGUUAGUAUCUUUUUUUAAGCUCUGUGAUGCUAUUGGGAAGCAAAAAUCAGUUAAACUUGCAUGCAUGCAAGUCUUUUUUUACACUGCAAAAUCAGUCCAUUUAAUCAAUUGGUGUGAUAAAGAUAAAAUGCUUCUCACUACAAACUCAGCCAUCUGAGUAAGGAAGAUAAGCAAAAGUGACUGAAAUGCCAUACCUAGGCAGUAUCACUGAGAAAAAACACCAUCAUAUGGUAUCUAAUUACAUAAUUCCACCUAUAAAUUCUUUAAAGAUUAAUAAUUAUGUAUAUUUAUUACUCACCAUGAAUAGUUAAUUAACAAUAUGUAAUAUAUUAAGCUAUAACAUUUGCUAGUCUUUAGUAAACUUAAAACAUGAAGAGGUAUAAUCAGGUGCAAGAUUCUCUCCUUUUAAUAACAAUUUUAAAUCUUUAAAUUCUUUCUUUACUGGAAUUUAGUUACUUAGCCAUGGUAACUUUUGUAUAUUUAGAAUUCAAUUCUAUUUACUACAUUCAGAAAUUAGCUGAAAUUCAGAAAACAGCAAUCUUAUUAAACUACUGGUGUUAAAUAAGUAGUUAGAAUAUCAAUUUUCAAGAGGAUCAGCAUCUUAUACUUCUGCUAGUGUGUUCAAGGGUCAGAAGAGCAGUUACUCUGUGCCAGAAGAGGAAAACAACAUUAUAACAAGUCAUUAGAUCAAGACACAAAUCAGAUCAACUUAAUUAAAAAACCCAGUCCUAAUCAGAUGCAUUUGUAUCAUUCCCCCUGUUUUUGUUCUUUCAGGAAGUUAAA